rnacentral:rRNA from 1 species
UACGUAGGGUGCAAGCGUUAAUCGGAAUUACUGGGCGUAAAGCGUGCGCAGGCGGUGAUGUAAGACAGAUGUGAAAUCCCCGGGCUUAACCUGGGAAUGGCAUUGGUGACUGCACGGCUAGAGUGUGUCAGAGGGGGGUAGAAUUCCACGUGUAGCAGUGAAAUGCGUAGAGAUGUGGAGGAAUACCGAUGGCGAAGGCAGCCCCCCUGGGAUAACACUGACGCUCAUGCACGAAAGCGUGGGGAGCAAACAGG